GACGACGACUCCGAUCGGACUUGAGCGUGCACGUGGCCUUCUCGGUGUCUGCGUAGCAUGUUCCAUGUGCCUUCCAGUGUAGCAAUCUACGUUGUAACUCGUGCACAAUCAAUUCUUUUCAUGCCAGCUAAAUGGACGUAGGAGUCUACGAGUCUGCGAGCAGCAUACGCAAAAUGGGGAGCAACGACGUACCUCUGCUACCGUGGCCAUAUGUAAUGCCAUUUUUGGAAUGUGUCUCAGAGGAAGACAACAAUCUUUCUGUGAUUUGCAAACUAUGCUUGCCGAAAAACAAGGUGUUGUCCGUCGGGAACACUUCCAACUCCAACCUCAGGAAGCACAUCAAGGUAUGUAUAUCAAGCUGUUAAAGUAUUAUUCAUGUCGUUGACCCCUCCGGUUUCUCAAUGCUUUCUCUGCCUCACAGCUCUUUCAUGACUUUCCAUGCCGUUGUCGUAUGCACGCGAUGUUUGUCGCCAACACUACUGUACACAUAAGGAAGUACUACAUAUUUGUCCUACACGGUCGAUGUUCGGUUACAUAUCUUACUAAUGUAUGCUUUAGAAUGCCGUUUAAACUCGUGUCCCCCCCCUCUCUUAGAAUGUACGUCCAAGCAGAGCUGCAGAGAUUGACUUCAAUGCGCCCGAGCACGGAAAGCGACGGCGGGAACGCGAGGAGAGUCAGGAUUCGUCCCACCAGCGCACCCCGCAGAAGCAAGUACGACCCCAGGACUGUAACUGAGGGAGCUGUAUCGCAUCAACACUACGAGAGGCUCGUCGAUAAUUUUCUCAUCGGAGCAAUACAGCCAUUCGCUGUAGUCGAACAGGACGAUUUUGUCCAGCUGCUGAAAUCCCUUGCUCCCACCAAGAAACAGUUGACACGAUGUAUGCUUGUUGACCGCAUACGUCGACGAUUCAUGGCUAAAGUGAAUGCAGCCGUACCAUCAAGUGUACCAGUGGAACGCCUGUUCAGCGUUUUGGAAACGUUUUUCAGAGGAAACGAGGACGGAUGACCAACGCCAACUUCGACAUGCAGUUAUUAUUAAGAGCGAAUACAGCCUACGUCUAAUUCUGA